AUUGAACGCUAGCGGGAUGCUUUACACAUGCAAGUCGAACGGCAGCGCGGACUUCGGUCUGGCGGCGAGUGGCGAACGGGUGAGUAAUGUAUCGGAACGUGCCCAGUAGCGGGGGAUAACUACGCGAAAGCGUAGCUAAUACCGCAUACGCCCUACGGGGGAAAGCAGGGGAUCGUAAGACCUUGCACUAUUGGAGCGGCCGAUAUCGGAUUAGCUAGUUGGUGAGGUAACGGCUCACCAAGGCGACGAUCCGUAGCUGGUUUGAGAGGACGACCAGCCACACUGGGACUGAGACACGGCCCAGACUCCUACGGGAGGCAGCAGUGGGGAAUUUUGGACGAUGGGGGCAACCCUGAUCCAGCCAUCCCGCGUGUACGAUGAAGGCCUUCGGGUUGUAAAGCACUUUUGGCAGGAAAGAAGCGUCGCGGGCUAAUACCCCGUGGAACUGACGGUACCUGCAGAAUAAGCACCGGCUAACUACGUG
rnacentral:rRNA from 1 species